CUCUCCUCUCCAAAUUCUCUCUAACCCUCUCCAAACCCUAACCUCUCUCACCGUCUCCUACCUCAAGCUUACCGGAAAUCAUGGCUCCUCCGGUCAUGAUAACCCCAUACUCACCCUCUAUUAUUCCUGUAUGUUUAAUAUCUUAAGAAUCAAGGCCUUGACCUGGAAUGUUCCCUUUCAGAUCUUCUUAGAUCUAUGGUUCUAUGGCCUCUCCGGCCUUGCUCCGGCAUAUUCAAGGCUCAGGAAGCUUGAUACUCACUCAUCCGACCCCAGGAUCUGACUUUUCCAAG
rnacentral:lncRNA from 1 species